rnacentral:rRNA from 1 species
UCAGGCACGAAAGCGUGGGGAGCAAACAGGAUUAGAUACCCUGGUAGUCCACGCUGUAAACGAUGAUCACUCCGUUGUUGGCGAUAUACUGUUCAGCGACUGAACGAAAGUAUUAAGUGAUCCACCUGGGGAGUACGAUCGCAAGGUUGAAACUCAAAGGAAUUGACGGGGGCCCGCACAAGCGGAGGAGCAUGUGGUUUAAUUCGAUGAUACGCGAGGAACCUUACCUGGGCUCAAAUGCAGGACGAUCGUCCCGGGAAACCGGUCUUCCCUUCGGGGCGGCCUGCAAGGUGCUGCAUGGUUGUCGUCAGCUCGUGCCGUGAGGUGUCGGGUUAAGUCCCAUAACGAGCGCAACCCCUAUUCUUAGUUACCAUCAGGUUAUGCUGGGGACUCUAAGAAAACUGCCUACGCAAGUAGUGAGGAAGGUGGGGAUGACGUCAAAUCAGCACGGCCCUUAUGUCCAGGGCUACACACGUGCUAC